UACGUAGGCAGCGAGCGUUGUUCGGAAUUACUGGGCGUAAAGAGUGUGUAGGCGGUGUUCCCAGUCUGUUGUGAAAUCUCCCGGCUUAACUGGGAGGGUGCGGUGGAAACUGGGGUGCUUGAGUGUGGGAGAGGUAAGCGGAAUUCCUGGUGUAGCGGUGAAAUGCGUAGAUAUCAGGAGGAACACCGGUGGUGUAGACGGCUUACUGGACCACGACUGACACUGAGGCACGAAAGCGUGGGUAGCAAACAGG
rnacentral:rRNA from 1 species